AGUGAACGCUGGCGGUAGGCCUAACACAUGCAAGUCGAACGGCAGCACAGGAGAGCUUGCUCUCUGGGUGGCGAGUGGCGGACGGGUGAGGAAUACAUCGGAAUCUACUUUUUCGUGGGGGAUAACGUAGGGAAACUUACGCUAAUACCGCAUACGACCUACGGGUGAAAGCAGGGGAUCUUCGGACCUUGCGCGAUUGAAUGAGCCGCUGUCGGAUUAGCUAGUUGGCGUGGUGAAGGCCCACCAAGGCGACGAUCCGUAGCUGGUCUGAGAGGAUGAUCAGCCACACUGGAACUGAGACACGGUCCAGACUCCUACGGGAGGCAGCAGUGGGGAAUAUUGGACAAUGGGCGCAAGCCUGAUCCAGCCAUACCGCGUGGGUGAAGAAGGCCUUCGGGUUGUAAAGCCCUUUGUUGGGAAAGAAAUCCAGCUGGUUAAUACCCGGUUGGGAUGACGGUACCCAAAGAAUAAGCACCGGCUAACUUCGUGCCAGCAGCCGCCGUAA
rnacentral:rRNA from 1 species